AGUGAACGCUGGCGGCAGGCCUAAUACAUGCAAGUCGAACGGCAGCACAGCAGAGCUUGCUCUGUGGGUGGCGAGUGGCGGACGGGUGAGGAAUACAUGGGAAUCUGCCCAGUCGUGGGGGAUAACGUAUGGAAACGUACGCUAAUACCGCAUGCGCCCUAAGGGGGAAAGCCGGGGACCGCAAGGCCUGGCGCGAUUGGAUGAGCCCAUGUUCGAUUAGCUAGUUGGCGGGGUAAAGGCCCACCAAGGCGACGAUCGAUAGCUGGUCUGAGAGGAUGAUCAGCCACACUGGAACUGAGACACGGUCCAGACUCCUACGGGAGGCAGCAGUAGGGAAUAUUGGACAAUGGGGGCGAACCCUGAUCCAGCCAUGCCGCGUGAGUGAAGAAGGCCCUCGGGUUGUAAAGCUCUUUUGUCCGGAAGAAAGCAAUCGGUUAAUACCCGGUUGUCCUGACGGUACCGGAAGAAUAAGCACCGGCUAA
rnacentral:rRNA from 1 species